AACGCACAUUGCGCCCAUUGGUAUUCCUUUGGGCAUGCCUGUUCGAGCGUCAUUUCAACCUUCAAGCGCAGCUUGGUGUUGGGCGCCUGCCCCCGGGGACCGCCGGGGGCUCGCCUCGAAAUCAUUGGCGGCGGAGUCGUCGGCCCAGAGCGCAGCAGAGACGCGCCUCCGGGACCCCGACGGCCGCGAGCCAGGAGCGUGACCCACGCGUCUUGACCUCGGAUCAGGCAGGGAUACCCGCUGAACUUAA
rnacentral:misc_RNA from 1 species